GCCUGGGUGGCUCAGUCGGUUGAGCAUCCGACUUUGGCUCAGGUCAUGCUCUCACGGUCUGUGAGUUUGAGCCCCACGUCAGGCU
rfam:Felis catus isolate Cinnamon breed Abyssinian chromosome C1, whole genome shotgun sequence.